UAAUAAUGUCAGUCACAGUUACAGGGGAU
rnacentral:piRNA from 1 species